rnacentral:rRNA from 1 species
AUGCUACCGGAUGGGGACAUUAUUGAAAAUCAUGAUGAAAAAGCAGCGGCUUUCUGUGAGUGUUUUAAAAAUAGAAUGGGUGUUUCGAAUCAUCUUGAGUUUGACUUUGAGCUUGCAGAUCUAGUGCACAAAUGUCAAGGUCUUCAGGAGCUCUCUGUCCCUUUCACCAAAGAGGAGAUCGAUCAUGUGAUAAAAUUAAUCCCUGCUAAUCGAGCACCGGGGCCAGAUGGGUUUAACGGUCUUUUUCUAAAUGUUUGUUGGGGGAUUAUUAAAGAGGAUUUCUAUCAACUUUGUCAAGACUUUUGGGAAGGUAAAGUGAACCUGAGCUGUCUCAACACCUCUCUAAUUACCUUGAUCCUAAAGAAGCUGACCCCAGAAACAGUUAACGACUAUAGGCUGAUUUCCUUGUUGAAUUGUGUGCUCAAGGUGAUUACUAAGACUUUAGCUGAAAGACUCCAAUGGUGGAUCCUUAAAACAGUUCACCGAAACCAAUAUGGUUUCUUAAAGACUAGGACAAUACAAGAUUGUCUCGGUUGGGCAUUCGAGUAUUUGCAUCAGUGUAAGCACUCUGGAAAUGAGAUCGUCAUUCUGAAACUAGACUUCGAAAAAGUGUUUGACACUAUGGAACACGAGUUCAUUUUGAAAAUGCUUAAAUGCAAAGGUUUUGAUGAUAGAUGGUGCAUGUCGAUAAAGAUGUUGCUUGAUUCAGGAUCUUCGUCUAUUCUUCUUAACGGUAUACCCGGUAAGGAGUUCAAAUGCAAGCGAGGAGUGAGACAAAGGGGAUCCAAUAUCAACUUUACUUUUUGUGCUGGCAGCGGAUUUUCUUCAAUCUCUAAUAAAUAA